rnacentral:rRNA from 1 species
ACAGUUGGAAACGACUGCUAAUACCGCAUAAGCCCACAGCUCGGCAUCGAGCAGAGGGAAAAGGAGUGAUCCGCUUUGAGAUGGCCUCGCGUCCGAUUAGCUGGUUGGUGAGGUAACGGCCCACCAAGGCAACGAUCGGUAGCCGGACUGAGAGGUUGAACGGCCACAUUGGGACUGAGACACGGCCCAGACUCCUACGGGAGGCAGCAGUGGGGAAUAUUGCACAACGGGGGAAACCCUGAUGCAGCGACGCCGCGUGGAGGAAGAAGGUCUUCGGAUUGUAAACUCCUGUUGUUGAGGAAGAUAAUGACGGUACUCAACAAGGAAGUGACGGCUAACUACGUGCCAGCAGCCGCGGUAAAACGUAGGUCACAAGCGUUGUCCGGAAUUACUGGGUGUAAAGGGAGCGCAGGCGGGAGAACAAGUUGGAAGUGAAAUCCAUGGGCUCAACCCAUGAACUGCUUUCAAAACUGUUUUUCUUGAGUAGCGCAGAGGUAGGCGGAAUUCCCGGUGUAGCGGUGGAAUGCGUAGAUAUCGGGAGGAACACCAGUGGCGAAGGCGGCCUACUGGGCACCAACUGACGCUGAGGCUCGAAAGUGUGGGUAGCAAACAGGAUUAGAUACC